AAGGUUGAGGUGAUAGAUGUUGAUGUUAUCGGCUCGCUUGCUUCAUUCCAUUCCUUGAGCCGCCGUGUCCUUGUCCGGGGGUGUCGAGGAGAGGAGUCUGUCACGUCGGCCGGGAAGCAGUUGAAAUCACGUCGUCUUGGAGUGAACGUCAGGAAGCUGACGUGAAGGGUGGAGCGUCUGGGAACACCAACCAAAGAACCAAGAUGGCCUCCUCCUCCUCCUCCUCCUCGUGGGUGAUGGUGGUGGUGUUGGUGGUGGCGGCGGUGGUUCAAGGACAGCAAUCUCUAUACGACUGUCAAGUGCUCCAAAGCUGCAAGACAGGGACGUACAGCUUCCUCUACGACGGACUGUACGGGCCCCAGUGUUACUUCAUGCAGUUCGCAAACCUUGUCACUUGGGAGCAGGCGAGGCAGAGGUGCAAGAAGGAAAACGCCGAGCUCGCCUCCUCUUUCAUCUGUCCCGGCCUGCUUCAUUCCAUUUUUAAAGAGUCCAAUUUUCCCCAUGGCAUAUACUGGAUCGGCGCCACGGACAUCAAGGAGAAGACCUGGUACUAUCUGAAUGGCUGGCCCGUGCACUGUAGCUAUUUUCGCAGCCCUCCCGCGGCCAGCACCUCACAGCAAUGCGGCGCCGUGUACUUCUUCUCAAAUAAUGACACCACCAUGUACAUAACCUCUUACAGCUGUUCAACUCCGAUACAAUUCUCUCUCUGUGAAAUGCCUGGUAGAAGUACUUAAGCUGUUUUUUAUUUCUUUAUUUCUUCCGUAAGUUGAUGUAAAUUACGUGUGUGCAUUUCUAAGGGUUGUUGUUUGUAAGGGUUGUUGCUAUGCUAAUAUUAGGUAUACUCAUUGGUGAAAUAUAUACAGAAGAUGA